UCCCGGACGGUGACUCAUGCCAAGACCAUGGGACACCCAUCCCUUCUCAUCUGUAGAUGUUCCUCUGAAGUUGUUGCAGAUGGAUGAGUUCUCUGGCAAAUACUAUAAACCCACAGAGCCCCAGGAAGAAGGUCCAAUUAUAAACCAGUACAAGUCCUCUGUCACAGUUUGCCUUGAGAUUUAGACAUUUUCUCCUCAAAGUACACUGAAGCUAAUGACUCUGAACUUCCCAGGGUGAACCUACCCAAAGGACAGUGACAACUGAAGUUCUCCGAUUUUAACAGAAAAAAAAGAGACAAAAUUUUGCCUUUGGGCAGUUGAAUAAGGCAGAUCUCACUGCCUGGGGACCACAUGCUAAAUUCACAUCCUCAUGGUGAUAGUCUGUGUUAAUCUACGUUUCCAGAAGUCCCCCUACAGAAGUCAGUGGAGGGACCUAAUACUUCAACAGCAGGUGGCCAGAGAGAGAAAGAUCACCCCAUAUCACCUGUCCAGAGUGAGCCCAAGCACUCGGGGGACUGUGGAGCAAGGACAACUAUGAAAGUGCUGACAGUCAGAAGAGGAGCUUGGUCCAUCAGGAUGUAGUCUCCUUUCCAUGCACCCAGGCACAGCCACGGGACAAGAGCAGAAGGAGCUGAAGGACAAAGCCCAUCCCACAGCCCCACAGAGCAGGGGCCAUUGCAACCCCAGCCCUUCCACAGCAGAGCACUGGAAAAAUCACACCUCUCCAUGAAAGAGCUGCCACCCCCAUCUCACAUCUUCCUUCCCAUGCAACUCACACACCAGCCCUUUGUUUCAUUUUUUAUUUUUUUUUCCAUUUUUCACAUAACAUUUUCAAAAACAAUGUAGACCACGUUAUCCUUGUUCAUAAUAAUACAAAUCAAUGUAAACCAUGUAAACUAUGGAGAUCACUUGUUCAAGUCUACCUGUAAAACAUUUACACUAUGUUGUUCACUAGAACAAGUUUACCUGUCAUGAAAGCCUCCAGAACAUUACUAUACUCAUAGUCAAAGAAGCAUAUAUCACUUCAUGAAAGAUAAACCUUCAUUUCUUUACAUUCCCCUUGUAUUCAAGACGCCACUGAGUAUGUAACAGCUGUUCUCUGCAUGCCUAAUUUGUAUCUCACAUUCACAGUGAUUUCUCCUUCUCUAGUUUGGAGGAGGAUCUGAGGUAUUUAACUUUCUUAUGGCACUAACACUCCAUAUAACAAAAGCUCCACUUCUUUUCCACUACUUAGUGAAAUUCACCCAAUCCUACAGCUAGAUGUGUUAUCAUGCUGCUCUUGGAGGAUACAGGUGGAUGGGAAGAAUAACUCAUAUUUUGAAAGUUUACACUUAUUGGCAAACCUAAUUUGUUCUCUAGCUGCAGAUUAGCAAUUGCUUGAAAAAAAUGAGCUUUCCUGAUGUACCUGAAACACUUUUCAUGUUUGUUCCAGUAAUGGUCAGCUCAUCUGUAGCUCUUUUUUCCUUCAAAAGAGAGAUAUCCAAGUGGAAUGACUGUUUUCCACACUUGCAGCCACCUUUUUCCCCAUCUGCCCAUAAAAUACGUGUAUUCUUUAUCAUUAUAUUUAAAUCCUGCAUUUGGAAACAGGGAAACUUUGGCUUAAAUCUCAUAAAAUGUGAAGGCUCUUGCUAAUAGAUUGAAGAGUUUCUUAAUUCAAGCUACAUCCUAGUGUUUAAAAUCCUUCCAAAUAUUUAUUGGGCUAAACUCAGAACUGGCUCUAAGUAGUGGCAGAAAAGAAUUAGAUUAUGGCCUCUCCCGAAAGGAUGAGAGUUGUUCAUUUCUCUAGCUUGUGAGACCACAAGCAGUUCUAGCAUUCUUACUUUGUAAUUUGUUUCUUUGGAACCAACUUUUUGCCUGAUUAUAUUUUUCCCUACAGAGUUUGACAAAGCUCUGGGCUGACUUAGCCAAAAAAAAGCUUUAUCUUUGCUAUCUGUGAGAGGUGUCAGCUAUGGGUCUGUAGCAAUCUAGACCUUAAGGAUAGAACUCUUCCCCUCCCAUACAGAUGAAGAUAAUAUACAUCAUAUAUGAUGGAACUAUUUCUUGGCUAUCAGAAGUGUUAUCUCUUGGAAAAGGAAGUAACCAAGUCAUUCUACUCAGUCUGAUCCUCAAAGUACAACAUCGUCACAGAUUUAUUGCUCCCUUAUGAUUUAUCCCAAGACUGGAAUCCAGUUAGAUUAACCUAACUGGGCAGUGUUUUGCAUCAUGAGUAAUCGAUGUGCAUACUUCCCUCUAAAGGACACAAGGUUCCUGAAGCUGCAUCAGCUAUAAACUGGUGCAGACUCAUUUUUUAUGGGAAUCAGUGCCAGACUUUUAUACCCAUAUCAGUGAGGAGAAUCAGGCCAGUCAUGAAAGAGAGGCAUGGAAGGGUAAGACUGUACAUUAUUACUGGUAAUCUGUACAAUCACUUCCAGGAAUAAAACUUUGUAUUAGUCAAAUUACUCUCAAAAUACUGAAACACCCCUCCAAAUUAUUUUCUUGGCAAAGAUAAUAACAUAUUACAGCCGCCUAUGAAUCUCUAACUAUGAGAUACUGGUAGAUAAGAAAGAAAUGAAUUCACCAGUGUACAAUUAUCUGUUACGCUGAUGCAUUUAUCUCUGGGGAAGGGAUAUUCUGAGGCAGUCAAUUUAAGCAAAGAAUAUUCCAAAUGGUGAAAAAAUUUAGAUUUUCUGUGGAAAAGUUCAUAGACAUACAGUUGCCAUGACAAUCUAUUUUUCUCUUGAAAAGGGAAAAACACAGCUGGCUUUAGACUGAAGUGAAAUAAAAUGAGUUUGAAUUCUUAAGAAAAGUGCACGGAAUAGUCUUUCUGUUGCAAGAUUUCUUAGCUUCUGCUUUUAGGUUUUACAGAUUUUCUUUUCCUUUUUUUUUUUUUUUUAAAUAA